GCAUAAUGAUGAUGAAUCUGAAAUAUUCCGAUUAUUUCAUGAAAGGAUAAAAUCCUCCUACUCAUUCUGA